AUUGAACGCUGGCGGCAUGCCUUACACAUGCAAGUCGAACGGCAGCACGGGGCAACCUGGUGGCGAGUGGCGAACGGGUGAGUAAUGCAUCGGAACGUACCUUUCAGUGGGGGAUAACGAAGCGAAAGUUACGCUAAUACCGCAUAUUCUGUGAGCAGGAAAGCAGGGGAUCGCAAGACCUUGCGCUGAUUGAGCGGCUGAUGUCAGAUUAGCUAGUUGGUGAGGUAAAGGCUCACCAAGGCGACGAUCUGUAGCGGGUCUGAGAGGAUGAUCCGCCACACAGGAACUGAGACACGGUCCAGACUCCUACGGGAGGCAGCAGUGGGGAAUUUUGGACAAUGGGGGCAACCCUGAUCCAGCCAUGCCGCGUGAGUGAAGAAGGCCUUCGGGUUGUAAAGCUCUUUCGGCCGGGAAGAAAUCGCACGGGCUAAUACCCUGUGUGGAUGACGGUACCGGAAUAAGAAGCACCGGCUAACUACGUGCCAGCCGCCGCCGUAACAC
rnacentral:rRNA from 1 species